UUUUUUAAGAAGGUAAAUCCAUAAAAACUUGCUAUAGUCAUCUAUGAAACUCACAUAAUAUGUGUGUCUACCAACAGAGGAAGGGGCAGGCCCCCACACAUCAGAGAAAACAAGUUGUAGAGGCUUGGUAGAAACACUGGUAGAAAUUGGAUAAGGUAGCUGAUGGCUUUUAGCCUUUUGACAGGAAUCACAAAUUUUCUCAACAUCACGCUCUCCAACAUACGGGAGCUUAUUUUUCUUAAGUAAUAUCUCAACUAAGGAAAAAGAUGCAUGUCCUAAACGAUCGUGCCAUCGUGUUGAAGACACUUUGGUGGCACUAAAAACUUGUUUAUUGAACCUUCUAAUUUCUGGAAUCAAGGGGUAAAGCCCACGAACGCAUCUACCUCGAUAUAGCACCUUCUUCGUUGCCUGAUCCUUGAUCAAAAAGAAGUAAGGGUGAAACUCAAGAAAGACAUGAUUGUCAAUGGCAAUGCGAUGAACGGAAAGAAGGCUUUUUGAAGCACUAGGGACAUGCAAAAUUUUCCUAAGAUGAAUUUUUCGAUGAGGGGUUUUAAUAAUUGAGUGACCAACAUGACUAAUUUUCGUACCUUCUCCACUUGCUGUGUGGAUGUGAUCUUUGCCACGGUACUUGUCGCGCAUGGUCACCUUCUCCAGCUCACCGGUGAUGUGGUUUGUGGCACCGCUGUCGACCUACCAAUUGGUGUCGACGCCGUAGGAGCCAUCAGCAGCUCCGGCCACCUUCUCAUCUUGUGAGGAAUCAUCUUCGUCUUCUUCAAAACGGUACCAACAAUCUUUUGCCGAGUGUCCCGGCUUGCCACAGAUUUGGCACCUGAUUGCAUCAGGGCGUGAUCUGUUGUUGGAGGAGUUGCCGCGCCGGCCUCGAUUGUUGGAGGAGAAAGGCCGGCCGCCGCGUGUGUUGUUGGCGUCGCUGCUGUUUCCGUUGCCGGAGCCCCGGCCCUUGCCACUCCGAGGUGGGCCGCGGUAGCGGGAGCCUCCGCCCCGGCCGCGCGUGGCAGCGUUCGCUGACGACUUGAAGCCGCCCGUCGCGCCUGCUCCCUGGAAUAGAGCCACCCGUUGGUCGAAGUUGCUCAUCUGCCCGAACAGCUCGUCGAGAGUGACCGGGGUGGUGCGGGCGUCGAGGGCGGACACCAAGGGCUGGUACUCCAUGUCAAGCGCGUUGAGAAUAUACGAGAUUAACUCAUCAUCCUUCAACGGCUUGCCAGCCGCGGCGAGCUCGUCGGCGAGUCCCCGCAUGUACGCGAAGAAGGUGGCCACCGAUUGCGUUCCUUUCUGCGCAUUGGUGAGGGCGGCGCGGAUGUUGUUGACACGGGACAGCGACGUGGACGAGAACAUGCUCGCCAGCGCCGUCCAGAGUUCGCGUGCGUGCGCGAUGGAGGUGACCUGCACUAGCACCUCUUUGGAUAGGUUAUUCAAGAGAUAACCAAGUACCUGCUGAUCCUCGCGGAACCAGACGGCAUGGAGUGGGUUGGGGAUGGUUGCCUCCUUUCCAUCCUUGUCCUUGCCGACGACGAACUCGGCCGGCUCCGCCAUGCUUCCGUCGACGUACCCGAAGACUCCAGCUCCUCUCAGCUGCGGCGUGAUCUGAGUGCGCCAAAGAACAUAGUUGGUGCGGGUAAGGCGCUCGGUGAUCUGGCCGGAGAGAGGGGAGGAGGUGGCGGCGGAUGAGGCCAUGGCAGGAAGCUUCGGUGGAAGGAGGAGAGCUAGAUGGGAAGAGUUAGGCUCUGUAUACCAUAUGGAGGAACGUCGUACCCAUCCUGGGCGACGGUUGCGUGUUUAUAUAGCCAGGUCGCGACCUCCUGGUAUAGCGUACAAGUUGGUUCAGAUUACAACUUGGAGAAGAAGAGAUAAGAGAGGUUACAAAGAUAAACGCAUACGAGCUAGAUCCUAGUCUAUCUUCGGUUGGAGUCCUGGGCGAUGGUUAUCUUCAGGACUCUGAAUCUCUGUCACGUACAGCACUAGGCGUUGCCAUAUUACGUUCAACACUCUACUCUUUUGAUUAAGGCCUCCUUUGGUUCAUAGGUAGGAAUAUCAUAGGAAUAGGAAAAUCAUAGGAAGCGAGGUGGCAUGCAUCUCACUUCCUAUAGAUUAAGAGAUGUCAUCUGAUUCAUAGGAUAUGAUUUUUUCCAUUAAGUCUAGACUAAUAUUUUUUCCCUUUGAAAUAUAAAGGAUUGGUUCCUAUCCUAUAUAGGAAUAGGAAUCCAUUCCUACAAACCAAAGGGCUCCAUAGAAAUUUUUCCUACAAAAAUCCUAUCCUCUAAAAUCCUACAAGAUUCCUCCAAACCAAAGGAGCCUAAAAGAAGAGGAAGAAACCCGCGGAAGCUGCCACGCACAACCCAACACAAUCAUGCGGUUGGGGUUGGGGUUGGGGUUGGGGUUGGAUGCCUCUCUCUUCUUUUUAGAGGAUCAUUAUGCGACCUACUCCCUCGUUUCUAAAUAUAAGUCUUUUUGGAGAUUUCAACAAGUGACUACAUACGGAGCAAAAUAAAUGAAUCUUUUUCGAUAAAGGGUGCUUUCUUAUUGACUCAUAGUGUAGCAUCGAGGGAUACAAUCAUAACGAGUACACACACAGCCUCUGCACAAUUAGGAUGCACACAGCCAACACAACACACGCACCCACACGUCACUUCGGCAAAGAGCAAAGUCAUAAAAGACCGAAGCUAUGCCUAGGUGAAGAAAAGAAAACCCGAAGAAUUGAAAGCAACAAUAAACGAUAUACAGCAGUGACCAUCGGCGUCAACCAUCUCGUCACAACACAAGGACUACGAGAAAGGCUCUCCAAAAGCGACGCCUUCAGAAAGGGAACGACGUUGAAGCGCCACUGUCGCCGAAUCCAACCACCACCAAUUCCGAGCAAUGCCCUCAUCAGGGUAACAACGCAAAAGAACGCGCCAUUGCCAGAUAUGACCAACUAGGGUCAAACCUAUGGUUUUCACCACGGAGCUCGAGACUAGGUACUGCAGAAGUACCACCCAAUCGAAGUAGUCUUGUGCCAUCUCCUCCACUUUUCUCAAUCCCAGUAGUUGCAUAUGCGCACGGUCCUUGUGCCGGGGGAUGUCCACACCCGUACGAGCAAGCUGACAAGACGAGACAAGAUCUUCUCUCGCCACCAUCCGACGAAGACUUUGACGGGGAAGUGUAGGUGUCUAGCGUACUCACUGAACCACGGCGAUCACCGGAGACAAGGAAAAAACAAGAGAGAGAGAGGACACGAGGUUUCCCGGCGCACAAACGCCUCCGGCCGCAUGAACAGCCCCUUGUAUAUCCGGCGAGCUCGAACUCUGCCACACACACCAUCCCACGGCGAGCACACAUACACUCCAAGAGGCUACAUCUCUCUCUGGCUCCUCUCUCUCUACACAACACCAGCAGCCACUUAAAUAUGCAAGGCCACGCACAGCCUAGCCGCCUCCAUCGGCCACUAACAACACUUACUAACUACCAUGACGCCACACCUCCAUGCACUAACCAACUCAGCUAGCAUGCAUACUAGAAUCACUCACGCCCAGCUUUCUAGCUAGCCCACUAACUAACCAGCCAUGCAUGUAGAUGGAAUCCCGGCCACUACUCACGCAUGAACGUGACUCGGUCAGGUCGCUGCAUGAGGCUGCGAUCAAGAUUAGUGCUGACAGGAAGAAGGACUGUCGGCACCAUCAAAAUCCCGGGAUGGGGACACUCUGAAGGCCUACACCAUCCUCACAAGUAGCAGAUGUUGGCUGAUCUGUAUCAGACGACAGCUCCACGAGCUGCCACUACCUCAAGCGUUUUCGCACCAGUGGACGCACAUCAUUCAGGUUUGAAGCUCUUGAGGUAAGCAGUCUAGCCCACAACCACACAGCAGCCUGCGGACCAGAUUCACGGCCGAACCUGAGGGAACAACCACCAUGAGCACUACGCACCAACGCCAAAGAUGCACCCAUGGAGCAGCGGCCCUAGCAUGGGUGUGCUCUCAGGUUGGAUGCAUCGGAGGAAGUCACAGCACAAGACGCAGAGGAGCAACAGGUGUGCAUGCUCCAGUGGUCCUGUCGAUGAAGAUGACUGCGUCGCGAGCGCACAUGGUGCUGACCUAGUUAUCCCAAGCCAUGCUUCCGCCAGAUACGUGGAGUGCUGGAGCCGCCGCUGCAGCAUCAACCUUCACAGCGGCCAGCCACCAUCUGCAUCUCGUUGAAUACGUUGCCCAAAGAUCCACGGGAACGGAACCCUGCUGCCGCCCUCAGCCGCCCGAGCAAGCUCGAUGACGCCGACUGGCGGCGGCGAGGGGAGGGCGCACAGGGACGACGCCGGAAAAAGCGGACCGAGCCGCCCGAGUCGCCCAGGCGGACGACGCGGGGGCAGUUUUUUUUUUGUAUGAAAUCUUUCUCUCCCUGCAGGCUCAGUCAAAUGAGUGAAUCUAUAUUCUAAAAUAUGUCUACAUAUAUCCGUAUGUUAUAUUUUAUUUGAAAUGUCUAAAAAGACUUAUAUUUAGGAACGAAGGGAGUAGGAUCAUCAUGCCUAUAAUACUACAUCUAUGUGAUCCUAUGUAACCUUGAUUUUCAUGGCUGUGGGCCCCCCUCACUCCCCUUAUUCCAAUUAAAAUUUGCAAAAUCAGCAGCAUUACGUAAACCUUACGUAGCUUUGCGUGGAUGUAGCAUUGCUCUGCUACAGACGCGGGAGCAGCGUAGAACGCCAAGGGUGAUUGAAAGUAAAAAACAAAAAGAAGAUUCUAGGAGCAAUGCGGUGAGGGGGUGCAGGAUUUGUCUGUCCGACUCCUCCGACCUGUAAAGCAUGGAGAACCAACCCUAAAUCUAGCGAAAGAAAGACACAAAGACGGCGUGCCGCGGCGGGCGGACCUCCGGUGCAGUGCAGGCGCGAUGAUAGUAAAAGAGGGGAGCUAGGCUGCUAGGGUCCCUUCGACGAUGUGCUCCCUCCUCCUUGGCCCGGCGUCUCGGAUGCGGUCGCGGUUACCGACGCCCAUCCGCCGUCUCAUCUCCGGAGUUCUUUUCCUCGGUGUGUGCGUACGGUGCAGGGCAUGGACUGGACUUGUGGGUUUUGGCUCAGGCCCUCGUCUUAUGCAUUUGUUUUGUGGGAGAUGGUAAACAAUUGCUCUCACACUCUCGGUCGUAUCGUAUGGUUAGCACCCCGGCUCCUGCAGCUGCCAAUAAUGUCAAGUAUCCACACCUUCAUGUGCAUCUGCUAUAAUGUUUAAGUAUCCACAUCUUCAUGUGCAUCAGCUGUCAGCGUGUCAGAUAGUUAGACAAUACAUCAGAUCUCAGAUGCCGGCUGCCACAGUUUAAUGAAGGGAUGCAUCGGUGACUUGGGUGGUCGAGGGGUGCAACUCCGGACAUCGCUUUAUGCGGACGACGCGGCAAUAUUUGUUGCACCGAUCAAGGAGGACGUCCAAGGCCAUCUCCACUAUAUGUCUUGGAAAGCUUUGGAGAGGUGACCGGACUGGCUACAAAUUUCCAAAAAAACGCUUUGUGUGGCACCCAUCCGGUGUGAAGGAUUGGACCUUGAAGACAUCAUGCAAAGCAUGCCCGCGGUGCGCUCGACGUUCCCCUUGCGCUACCUUGGGCUUCCCUUGUCGAUUAGGCGCUUAAAAAGGAGCCACUUCUAGCACCUCGAGGACCAGGUCGUCGGCAAGUUGCCAUCUUGGCAGGGAAAACACUGCAAGUUACCACAUCACGACGCUUGUCAUUCCAGCUGAGGUUCUACAAGCCAUUGACAAGAUCCGGAGGGCCUUGAUUUGUGCGGGUUCCGACAAGGUUUCUGGGGGCAAAAUGCAAAAUUAACUUGACUUCUGUGUGCCGCUCCAUGAUCCUCGGUAGCCUUGGUAUCCUUCACCUUGCAAAGUUUGCUCGUGCACUCCGCCUAAGGUGGCCAUGGCUUGAGUGGAUCACGCCGGAAAGACCUUGGGUGGGCACCGGGAACCCUUGCGACAAGGAGGACAUGGGCCUUUUUCACGCCCUCACGAAGGUCACGAUAGGAGAUGGACGCAAGGCGAGCUUCUGUGAGUCGCCUGACUUGAUGGGUUUAGACCUAAGCACAUUGCACCACUAAUUUUUGACAUUUCCAGAAGCAAAAGUUGGAGCGUAAGGAAGGCAAUUCAGAAUGGUGCUUGGGUGGACAAAAUUCGGUUCUCAAAUGGCCUAACAGUGGCGCACAUCCAAGAAUUCAUCUCGCUUUGGACUUUGGUGACCCAGGUGCAACUACAAGACAACCACCUCGACACCAUCACUUGGAAGCUCACCACCUCAGGGCAUUAUUCGGCGGCCACUGCAUACAAGGCACAGUUUUGCGGCAUCAUGGCUUCUAGCUUCAAGAGCAUGAUUUGGAAGAACUGGGCACCGCCAAAAUGCAAGUUCUUUGCCUAGUUGAUCACUCAGAACCGAGUUAGGACGGCCGGCUGCCUUAUUAAACGUGGUUGGCCAAAUUGUGGCAAUUGUUCGUUGUGCAACCAAGUUUCGGAGUUGGUGUCACACCUACUCUUUCAAUGUAGGUUCUCCAUAAUGGUGUGGAUCAUGGUGCGUGACUGGCUUCAGCUUGAAGGGUUACACCCAAAUACUUUUGGGUUCGAAGAUGUCCAAUCUUGGUGGUACGCCAUGGUUCAUGACGGCUUUGGACGUCGUAAGGCCAUGGCUUCUACUACAAUGCUUGUGUCUUGGGAGAUAUGGAACGAGUGCAACACAAGAAUCUUCAACAACAAAUUCGCCAGGUCGGCAGUAAUCAUGGCCAAAAUCCAGUGCGGGGCGAAGAAUUGGGGGUUGGCAGGCGCAACCCAUUUGUGUAAUCUUAUGUCGGGAGAGUAGGCUUUUGUUUUACCGGCUACUUGCCCUAGGGCGGCCAGCCAAACCUGUUCUAAACUCUCUCUUAAUUAAUGAAUGCCGCAAGUCUUUUGCCCUUUUCAAAAAAAAGGUGUUUUUACAUUAUACUCCCUCUGUAAAGAAAUAUAAGAGUAGUGAUCUAAAUUCUCUAACAUUCUUUACGGUGGGAGUAUUUCCUUAUUUUCAUCGUUUCUUACUCUUGUUUCCCAGCACACAACGGUAAUAUUAAUAUUUUUAUUAUUUUAAAAAUAGGUGCAGUAUAUACACUCAACAGAGUGCGAGUUAGUCCUAUGUUGAUAAGGCGCCGAGAGAUGUGUAGUUAUAGGCCCUGGGCACUCUCCAAAUUUUCUUUUCCUCAACAUUGGACCAAAUCAUACGAGACUCCUAGAACUUGGUCUUACAGUUUUUUGAACGAGUCUGGGAGUUAUAGUGCUCUUUUGUGCGAUUUUAUUCAGGUGGUGAAUGAGUUGCAUACCUACAAGGUUUAUGUAGACUAAGGUUACCACAGGGCUUAUGUAGCUACACCAUACACGUAGGCUCUGCCUUUAGCUUUGAUAAUUGAAACGGGAAAAAAAGCCUUAUUCGUGUCAAAAUAGAAGAUAUGUUAGCACGACCAUGCGAAACAUAUUCUUCCUUCCUGCCAUUUUCUUUGUCAACCCCUCACUCUGCCUUCGAAUCUGUCCCGCUUUGCCGUAAAAACUACAUCCUCCCUUUCUAUCAACGACAGCUACAUGAAACUUCAUUCCUCGUCUUCUAUAUGGUUCUUGGUACAUAACUAAUUAAAAGGUGAAAGAUUUAUUGGCAUUGCUAGUUUAACCAUGGCAACAAUACCAGGCGAUACCAAUGCUAGGAAUAUUAGUUUCACUAAAUUCACUAAUAAGAACAUUAGUAUAGCACUUGGCGCCGUCUUAUGGCAAUACAUAUAUAUCACUAGUUCUUGGAAGAGCUACAAUGAUCUAUACAAAACGAUAAUGAAAUCACGGUGGGAGGGGUAAUGGAGGUAAUCUUUGAUCCUUAAUUCCAUGAUGGACUAGGAGAGAGGAUGAGUCAAUAGCUCGUGGUGGACCAAUCCCUCUCAUCUAUCCACCUAGGUGGGUUUCUUUUCUUGGGCUUCCUUAUUGACUUGGGCCUCUUUUCCAUUAACUAUUUCUUAGUCUUAUUCUUUUUCCUCCAUUCACUUGUUUGACCAUAGUUGGUUGCUUCACUUGACCUUGAUGAUUUGCCAAUUAUAGGUUUGGUAGGACUAAGUAGGGCCUUGAGUAAGAUUAACUGCUCCGCAAUCAAACAUCACUAGUCACUCAUAAUUAGCCAAGAAAAACAUGAAAUGUUUCCUCAAGGAAUCGGUCUUAUAUAGACAUAAGAAAUUAAAGAUGACUCAAACAUCUAAUGUGGCCAAUUUUUUCGCCACUAAUGAAGAUCAACUUGAAAGUUAGGCAUUUACAUGACACCCCUCGAUUAAACAAGGCGUGUGCACAAGAGACAAACAUUUGCUCUUCACUGGGUAACUUGACCAAAUCUUCGGAAUCCACCGCCCUUGUGCCCUUGAGUUAUUCUAUUCCAGUGCACUGACGACCUAGAAGCUAAGUUGGCAACGCAGGACGAAGAAAGGAGAUGCCAGCAACAACUGGAGGGUUUCUCCAAAGCCCCUGCUCGGUCACGACAGAUAGCUCUGACCACUCCAACAUGCCCAUUACGAUGUACAGUAGCAUCUACAUCGAGUUUUGAGAAGUUCUCCGGCGGUGCAAUCCACCCUGAAGGACGAAUAUCCGUUGUUCUUCUAGUAUUUCUGGCUGGCCCGUUUGUUUUUAUUUCGCCCAGAUAGGAGUUGACCUUUUAUAUAGCUGCCCUACGCGAGCUCAACUCUUGAGGCUCAAGUGGAUUUUAAUUCCUGUAAGAGCAACUUCAACAGACCGACCCAAAUGGACGUACGACUUGUCGUCGCUUUUUAUCCGUUUGGUUUGGCCGAGCGGACAGAUUUGUCCACUUUUUCAUGGUCGCCCGGUGUGCCCAACCGCAGCCGGAUGCAUUUGUGACAUAUCAGUCGCUUCAUAUCUGCGCCCCGCACCCCGCGUCACGUGCUCGCGCCUGCCCGUGCUCUGCACCGUGCUCCGCACCCCACCCCGCUCCCUGCGCGCCUACCCAUGCCCCGCGCGCCCGCGCCCCACCGCGUGCUGCUGCUCGGCCGAGGUUGCAGCAGCCGCCGCGCGCUGCCCCAAGCCAAGCGCGAGGACCUACAAGUGGGCACAAACGCCAGCGCACAUUGGCCAUGGCCGAGACAAGCGAUACCCACGCGAGCGCGUGCGAGAGGUGCCUGACGGCGGCGACCACCUGUUCCUACUGCUUGAGGUCGGAGCGAGGCUAGGCAUGGCAAGCACGGCGCGACACCGGCCAGGCGUGGGGCGAGGCCAGCGGCUGCAGUAGCGCCAGCCAGGUGGUGCACGUCCGCUGCGGUGCGGCUGUUCAAGUCCAAGUAAUUCUUACCUUGCCUGAUAGCAGAGCAUGUAGACACUUCGCCAUUGGGUCGCUGCUCUAGCGCCGAGUUCAUCCACUUGCGCCAGGCUAACUCAAACUCGCCCAAUAAAUGGUAACGACCUCUACGUGCCAGUUCCCAGGCCACACAAAAUCGUUCAGACAAACCUCUCAAUGUGACAUAUGUACAUUCCCCUCAACUCAUGAUAUACUUUGUCAAAGCCCAAGACGAGAACUUUCCAUCUAUGUUGGGUGGCUUCCUCCUCUCUUUACAAGAUGUGAAUCACCUCUCCAAGUUAGAGGGCCAAGAUCCUGUCUUGAUCCAGUAUGGCAGACGGUGAUGGCACGGCGAAAAGCCACAUGAAGUUAGAAGAAAGUUAUGUGGCACUCUAGUGCGUGCUGCUGAAGGGAGGAAUGUUGCUGCGCAGAUGCUCACGCUACGUUUCUCAUCUUCUUCACCUUAUAGGUGAUGAAGGACAGAUAAAUGAGCAUAGAUACCAAACACUGAACACCAUCAAGAAAAUGCAGCAGGCUAUUACUGCUACAUAACAAGAACCAAACUUAGAUAUCACCAGGCAGCCAGACAAACAGAAGAACCAACAACAGGCGACUCAAAAGUGCAUGACAUAGAACACGUUGCUACAACGUUCAGGCUGGCAAACGGGCAGGCAUAAUUAACAAAAAAUUGACCAGUACACAUCGGGGAUAACUAGUUACUUGAAAAGUAAGGUUCAGCGGGGCUUCAUUUUUCCCAUAAACAGGCGUGCAGCUUAGUCGCCCUUCCGGCGGAAGGAGCAUCCCUCGGUGAGCCUCGCCUUUCCUCCGGUGGGUUGGCAGAGCACCGUCUGGCAGCCAGGGCACACCACCACGGUCUGAGAGUGGCUGAACACAGUCGUUCUGUCACAAGGCAAUAGAUGGUUGGAAA
rnacentral:lncRNA from 1 species